rnacentral:rRNA from 1 species
AUUGAACGCUGGCGGUAUGCUUAACACAUGCAAGUCGAACGGUAACAGGCCUUCGGGCGCUGACGAGUGGCGGACGGUGAGUAACGCGUAGGAAUCUGCCUCAUAGUGGGGACAACGUGGGGAAACUCACGCUAAUACCGCAUACGCCCUACAGGGGAAAGGCGGGGGAGUCUUCGGACCUCGCGCUAUGAGAUGAGCCUGCGUUAGAUUAGCUAGUUGGUAGGGUAAAGGCCUACCAAGGCGACGAUCUAUAGCUGGUCUGAGAGGACGAUCAGCCACACUGGGACGUGAGACACGGCCCAGACUCCUACGGAGGCAGCAGU